rnacentral:rRNA from 1 species
UGAGUUUGAUCCUGGCUCAGGAUGAACGCUAGCGGCGCGCUUAACACAUGCGAGUCGUGCGAUCGGCUUAGUCGUUCCUCGUUUUAGAGGAGACUGAGUACGGAGCGGCGAACGGGUGAGUAACACGUAGCUAACCUACCUCCAGGAGAGGUAUAACCCCAGGAAACUGGGGCUAAUCCCUCAUAACAUCAAGGAACAUCAGUUUCUUGAUCAAAGGGGCUUUUGCCCUGCCUGGAGAGGGGGCUGCGUCCCAUUAGCUAGUUGGUGAGGUAAUGGCUCACCAAGGCGAUGAUGGGUAGGGGGCGUGAGAGCGUGACCCCCCACACAGGGACUGAGACACGGCCCUGACUCCUACGGGAGGCAGCAGUGAGGAAUCUUGCACAAUGGGCGAAAGCCUGAUGCAGCGACGCCGCGUGGAGGAAGAAGGCCUUCGGGUUGUAAACUCCUUUUCUGAGGGGCGAAUAAGUAGAAGAGGCAAUGCUUCUACGAUGACGGUACCUCAGGAAUAAGUGCCGGCUAACUUCGUGCCAGCAGCCGCGGUAAAACGAAGGGCACAAGCGUUAUCCGGAAUCACUGGGCGUAAAGGGCGUCUAGGCGGCCUGCUAAGUCGGCAGUGAAAGCCCUCAGCUUAACUGGGGGAGGACUGCCGAAACUGGUAGGCUAGAGGGACGCAGAGGGAAGUGGAACUCUCGGAGUAGCGGUGAAAUGCGUAGAUACCGAGAGGUACCCCGAUAGCGAAGGCAGCUUCCUGGGCGUUCCCUGACGCUGAAGCGCGAAAGCCAGGGGAGCGAAGGGGAUUAGAUACCCCCGUAGUCCUGGCCGCAAACGGUGUCCACUAGGUGCCGGCCGGUUAAAUAAUAGGUCGGUGCCGCAGCUAACGCGUUAAGUGGACCGCCUGAGGAGUACGUCCGCAAGGAUGAAACUCAAGGGAAUUGACGGGGGCCCACACAACCGGUGGAGCACGUGGUUUAAUUCGAUGAUAAGCGAAGAACCUUACCAGGGCUUGACAUGCUCCGAUAAAGCCGUCCGAAAGGACGGUGGCUUGUAAGGAGCGAUCCUUACAAGGCGGUGCACAGGUGAUGCAUGGCUGUCGUCAGCUCGUGUCGUGGGACGUUGGGUUAAGUCCCGGAACGAGCGCAACCCUCGCCGCUAGUUGCCAGCGGUACGGCCGGGGACUCUAGCGGGACUGCCGGUGAAUAGCCGGAGGAAGGAGGGGAUGACGUCAAGUCAUUAUGUCCCUUAUGCCCUGGGCGACACACGUGCUACAAUGGCCGGUACAAUGGGCUGCCACUCCGCGAGGAGGAGCCAAUCCCUAAAGCCGGUCCCAGUUCGGAUUGGAGUCUGCAACUCGACUCCAUGAAGUCGGAAUCGGUAGUAAUCGCGGGUCAGCCAUACCGCGGUGAAUACGUACCUGGGCCUUGUACACACCGCCCGUCACAUCAACCAAGUGGGGGUUACCAGAAGUCAUCCCGGAAAGGGAUGCCCAAGGUAACUUCCGCGAGGGGGAUGAAGUCGUAACAAGGUAACCGUAAA